GCCCUCGUAGCGCAAUUGGACAGAGCACUGGACUUCUAAUCCAACGGUUGUGGGUUCGAAUCCCACCGAGGGCG
rnacentral:tRNA from 1 species